UGGAAUCGCAUGUCCUGAGAGCUUCCCUUGCAUGGUGUAUUCACCGUGGGCGUGAGAAAGGACAACACCCAUUUGCAGGCUGUGCUUUGGUUCCUGGACCCUGCCCAGAAGCCCAGCUCCCAUCCCUAGCAGCUUGGCUGUUCCAUACCCUGCUGUGCACCAGGCCCUCUGCAGAGAGCUGCUCUGGGCAAGGACUGCAGAGCCAGUAGUCAUCCUGGCAGGUGUAGCCCCAGGUUCCAUAACCCUGACCCAUGGUCUCCCUCCGCUGGCAGGCUCUGAGCAAACCUGCCCAGAGACAUGGAUGACGAGUUCUAGUCCUGCUGACAGCACCCUCCAGCACAGACAAACAUCUCUGAGGGUGGGAAACUGAGACACAGUUGGGACCUG